GGAUGACAAGGGGGUGAGUACAUUAUAUGUGAAUCUUUGUUUUAGAAGUGGACUUCUCCUUUAAGAUGUGAUGUUACAAUCUGCACCACAGCUAUUUAAAGUAUUUUUUUCUCCAGAUUAUUGAGUGCCUUGCGCACUACAACUAGUGAAUAGAUGUGAAAACAUUAAAUAUUGUUUCCAAGCAUUUAUACUGUCAGUGAAACAGCUUGUGAAUAGUCAUAAUGUGAUUUACCUCAGAAAAGACAACAAUAAUGAGCUUUGGAGCCUACGUCAUCCGCUGACUCUCUCGUGAACAACUAGAGGUUACAGUUUAUGAAGUUGUAAAUAUUUUUCUUUUUCUUACACAAACGAAUCACUUCACUUCUGGAGGACAUUUUAACCCCACAUAGCUGUGUGGAGUAUUUUUUAUGAUGGAUGGGUGCACUUUAUUGGACUUCAAAAUCUCAAUACCCAUUUACUUCUAUUAUAACGCUUGGAAGAGCCAGGACAUUACAUUUAACUCUGAUUGUAUUUGUCUGAUAGAAGAAAAUCAUAUACACCUAGGAUGGCUUGAGGGUAAGUAAGUAAUGGGGUAAUUUUCCAUUUUGGGUGAACUAUCCCUGUAAGUCAUUUUAGCAUUUUGCUGGUGACAAAUAACCACCAACAGAAUUUGCAACAACAAUAUAAACACAGAGCCAAACAAAAUGGUUUGUGAGGUGAAUAUAUCACGCUCUGAAACACACCAGCCAAGAUAUUAAUCAGGAUGGGAAUAAAAUAUGUUAUAUAUAGUACCAAACAUGUAACUUUCCUAUACAGAGCCUUAAGAAUUAUUGUGAAAUCAUGUGGUUCUUUUUUAACUCUGUUUUUUCUCUGCUUUCAUCUUCUGAGGUUCAGCAGCAGGUAAUGACAGAAGAUCUGUCUCCACUAGAGCGGGAAGAUCAGUAGGAGGAGUGGGAGGGAUGGUUCUCUAGAAAGUAAAUUGUCUUUGCCCUCCACAGGAGAAGUGUUUGUGGCAACUGCCUUCUCUGAACAGCGGUCUCAUUAGCACAGGCCUCACUAAACUGGAGAUUUGGUUAAGCAACAAGAACGGUUUGGCCUGACGGUGGAAAAGCAGCUCAAGUCUUCUGAAGAGAGCUGAUUCCUUUAUAUGAUCAACCGUCUGCAGCUUAGGGUGUCUGAAGUUGAUGCAGUCUGGGCACUAAUAUCUGUUGGGUUGCUGACCAUCACUGAAAAUGAUGUACUUCUCCAAAUCUUUUCUGCCUUGACCCUGCGUCUUCUGCCUUCUGCCAUCAUUGUUGAGGAUAGUACUUCACAGAAGAGUCUCCAGAAUCUACAUCAACCAUUUGCUUCUGGACUGUCAUUUGGUACGUUUGGAUUACUGCUACAUAUGGAUUGCCCUAAUACCAUGAAAAACACUUGGAGGUUCAUUCAAACUGUGGUGCUUGACUUGGGACAGAACAAAACCCUAAAACUAAAGUGACUUUUUGAACUUUAAUUAUAUAAACCAUUGGCAACAUGUGCAGCCAACACAGUGCCAUACUUAAACUCAUCUCCUUACUGCUACCUCUACUUUUUACAGGAAGCAUACCCUAAAUCAGAUUGUUGUUGGUUUGUAUUUAAAACUGCACUGAAAAACAUUUUAAAAAAUACAUUACCUUUAACUUUGAUUUGUCACUGCCUUUCUAUGUGUCAUAUGAAUAGAACAUUGUUUUCAUUAAUUUGUAAUGUAUUUUUGAAGCACUUAAGUUACUAGACUAGUAA